rnacentral:Y_RNA from 1 species
GGCUGGUCCAGUGGUAAGUGGGUUAUCAGAACUUAUUAGCAUUAGUGUCACUAAAGUUGGUAUACAACCCCCCUGGCUAAAUUUGACUGACUUUUA